CAAGAGGUAGUUUAAUAAAAGAUCUCAGCUUUGGGAGCUGGGGAUGAAGGUUAAAGUCCUUCUCUUUUGA
ensembl:Mt_tRNA